AAUUGAGAGGUGGGCACCGGCGCCAGAGGUAGGGUCAUAAUUUAUUUUUGAGUAAUUUUUUCAUGUACAUCUAUGCUGUAUGUUAAUAAAAGUACCUGUGUGACAUCUGGGAAACAGCUUCAACUAAGAACUCUUUUUGUCCUUACUUUAUGGCUUAAAAAAAAUAUCGAGAUAUAUAUCUUAUAUCACCAUCCAGCUAAAAAAUAUCGAGAUAUGAAUUUUGGGUCAUAUCGCCCAGCCCUAGUCUGUUUUGUCCUCAUUUCUCUAUUCUUACCUGUAUGGUCUUCUUUCUUCUAACCCCUGAAACAGUCACAGUAGAAAAAUCCCCAGUACUUAACUUUCUUCUUGCUAAAAGGGAGUUUUUUCCCACUGCCACCAAGCAUUCCUUUUAGGAAAUGAUCUGAUAGUGAAAACUAUUAAAAAAAAUAAAAUGUAAUUUUCAGUUGUUUGUUCACACAUUUUUUUGUUGUUUUGUGUGUCUGCAGUCUGUCAGGCUGUCUGAUUACAAAUGAAGGCUGUACUUCUCUGGCAUCAGCUCUGAGCUCAAAUCCCUCCCAUCUGAGAGAGCUGGACCUGAGCUAUAAUCAUACAGGACCCUCAGGACUGAUGCCGCUGUUGGUUGGACUGAAGGAUCCAAGCUGGAGACUGGACACUCUCAGGGUGGAGCCUGCUGGAGUCCGAUGGUUGAGACCAGGUCUGAGGAAGUAUUCCUGUCAACUCACAA